rnacentral:rRNA from 1 species
UACGGAGGGUGCAAGCGUUAUCCGGAUUUACUGGGUUUAAAGGGUGUGUAGGCGGACUUUUAAGUCAGCGGUGAAAUCUCCGGGCUCAACCCGGAAACUGCCAUUGAUACUAUUAGUCUUGAAUCUUGUUGAGGUGGGCGGAACGGGUCAUGUAGCGGUGAAAUGCAUAGAUAUGACCCGGAACACCGAUUGCGAAGGCAGCCCACUAAGCAAGUAUUGACGCUGAGGCACGAAAGCGUGGGGAU